ensembl:lncRNA
UUUGUAGUUUUCCCAAGCAAGAAGGUACUGGGGGAGAGGCUGCCCUGUUUUCUGUGAGAACUGAUUAGUGUCUUUUGAAGAAGGCAGUUGGCUACUACUGUGGAAGUAUUUUAGUGACUAAGGAGCGUGGGAAAAUAUCUCUUUGUUGGCAGAGGAAUGAACUUGUCAUGUAAACUAACUGAUAUAUCCAAGGAAAGGGACAGUAUUUCCUGCUGUUUGUUCCUUUCUAUUGAUGGGUGUAGGAGCUACAGGAAUGGAAAUAACCCAAGGUAAUCCUUAUACUUCCUUUAUAUGGAGGAUGUAAAGAAUUUACAGUUGGGUCUUUGCAAAGCUUCUGACACUUGCCACCCAGAGUGUCAGUAAAGAUGAGUUACCCUUCCUGGAAGAACUUUGAAUGAGAUGCAAAGAGACCCUGGGAACUUGACCAGUCAAACUUAGAAGUAUGAAGAGAAUGUUAGUGGGAGGAAGUGGAGGCCGUGAGUCAGCAUGAGUCAUUCUGUUCCAAUGAGAAUGAAGGCUGACUGAGAGGCAUCCUGUUCUCAAGGAGGUGGAGCAAUCAACUUCUCCCUGAAUAAAUGGGAGAUGACACAGGAAGCUGCAUGUCACAGUUGAUCGAAAAUGACAUAGACAUUGAAAAUCAGGAUUUUGGCCCACCUCUGAGCUCCCUGUUGAAUGGCGAUCACAAUCAGGAGAAAUGCAAAUGAAAAAUGAAAAAAAGUUCCUGGGAUUGGAUCUAAUGAACUUACACUAUAAAGUGGCUGUUGUGAGGAUCAAAUGAGACCAUAAUUGCAAAGCACGUAGCACGAUGCCUGGCACAUAAUAAAUCCUACAUUACUGACCGGGAGCCUGACAAACACAUGAUGGUCUUGGGAUGCUUCCUAGAAAUGAGAAUGUGAACAGAAAAGCAGGAAGGCCACAGAGAAUACAAGAAGACCCAAUGUAAGGGGAUAUAGAUUGCAUGAUAUGGGAAACCGUUUGUCACAACAAUAUAAUUUCACUGAAACCUUUGAAAGGACUUUUUUCUUUUUCUAAAUGUUAUACAAAGGAGGAUUUAUAAUACUCUGCCCACAUGCUUCUCCAAGGGAUAGAUGAAUUACAGAAGUUAUUUGGUCAUUUAGACAAUAAGAUCACAGCACCCAAUGCCAGCAUCAUCCAUGUCAUACAAUCAAUUCUGAAGUUCUAAAGAGAGACCUUAAGAGUGUCCUUGUAUCACUUUUUCUGACUACCUGGAAAUGCUGUGUGACUUCUCCAUAAAAGAGUCUUUUUGAGUUCUAUUUCAAGAUAUAAAUGAAAACUACACAGGAUAAAAAAAUAAGGUCAAUGAGACCCAGAGAGAUAAAGAUGCUCAUUCAAGAUCACAAACCCAGCUCUGUACCAGAAUUGAAGUUUUCUGCUUCUCAUUCCAGUGCUCCCCUUCUUCUCCACAUUGACUGAUUUGCAUAAGACAAACAUUGCUUGUUGGCUAAAUUCUCAAUGACUUUAAAGAUAAAAUUCUGUUUCAAAGUGGGUUAAACAGCACAGCUCCAAACCUAUCUCUGGAAGUUUGACCUUGGACAAAAUCCCUUUGUCUUGACAUCUUCGUCUGCAAAAUACAGAUAAGACUCUUGAUAGGUUUCUCAGAACUCUAUAUGGCAUAAUUGCAAUAAAAAUGAUGGAGUUGUGGAAUUCCCCUAUGCUGGAAAUAUUUUUACAAAUAUUUUACACUGGCCUGGACUUGUGACCCACUUUCUUGGACUCUAUUCAGCUACCUGUAGGCUCAGUUAAGUGUCAGGGUUACAGUGAACAUUGGAGCUGGCCAUCUCUAAAGCAGGACUCUGGGAUCAAAAGCAAGAUACAAAGCAGGAGGUCACGGUAUAAGGUAGGAAGUCAGAAACUGGAAUGAGGCUAAGUAGCAUGGAUGAUGGGAACAGUAGGUUCAGGCACUCAAAAUGACCAGAAUCAGAACCUAAUACCUCCCUUUGAAUAAGAGUCAAUCCCUCUGGAGCAAACUCUAAAGCAAUAAAGCAAAGGUUGUAAAUAGGAACAAGAGGAAUGUCUCCUGAACUGGAGAAGUCAGAAUGCUUGCACAAUACUGUCCAGAAAUGAUAAUGUUGCACCAAUAAGACCCCCGGGCUUUCUGCCCUUCUGUCAAUAAAUUAGUCAAGUAAUGAACAUUUACUAAGGGUUUUCAAUAUGCCAAGCAACUGUGCUCAACAUGAAGAUACAAAAAAGAUGCAGACAGACCCUGCUCUCAAGGAAAUUACAAUCUGAUCGACCAAUAUCCUGAGUCCAUGGAUGCAGUUAAGUCUGAAAAAUGAAGUGAUUGUACAUCAUCAGCAGGAUCUGUGCUGUGGAUCUAUCAUUCUAGUCAUCAUCAUCAUCAUCAUCAUUUACAUAGCACUUUACAUCCAGGAUCUCAUUUGCUCCUCACAGCAGAAUCACUUUAACAAAUGAAAGGGACAUCUUUGAAUGAUCCAGGAGCCCACUUCAUGAAGUUCCCUUCACCUAGCUCCCCCUGACCCUGAGAAUGAGCCCUCUGGGGAGACUCCAGGAAGACAGCCUGAUGACCCCCCCGCCCCUCAUAACAGAAGCCAGUAAAACCGGUUUUCCAGGGCCUGUGAUUAUGGUUGCCUAGUUUCUCUCCCCAUUGCCCAGUUAAAGCAAAUCAUUUGUGGUUCUCAGUAGUUGCUGUCAGACCAUUCCCUACUGCUGUUUAUCCAUCCCACAGAGGAGAGGCUCUUUGAAGCCAGAGACUAUGCCUUCUUUAGCCUAAUCUUACAAAUAUACUAAGUAUCCACAAUUAUCAAGGCAGUCCUUUGCGACCAAAGGCAUGUACUCAGUGCACAUCUGACUCAAAAGAAGGAUACAGUUUGCUGUCAGUAAAUAAAUAGUUCUUCCUUACCAAAUGAUCUAGCAGUUGGACCAGUGACAUUCAGCUUAUCAGCACCAUUCUUAAAUUAGGUAUGUUAAUUACCAAGAAUUACAAGUAGAUUUAAACAAAGAUCAUUUUUCCCAUGGAAUGAAAUAAGUAAUCAUAAAAUUAAAAAGUUAUCCUAAUCAAAAACACAGGGAUCCUUAUUUAGAAUUUUCAAAACUGAACCAAAAAAAAAGAAGACCCUUUUCUCUCUCUCUCUCUCUCUCUCUCUCUCUCUCUCUUUCUCUCUCUCUUUCUCUGUGUGUGUGUGUGUGUGUGUGUGUCUGUCUCUCUGUCUUUUUUUGUCUCUGUGUCUCUCUGUCUUUUUCUGUAUUUCUCUCUUUCUCUUCUUUCUCUCUCUCUUCCUGUCUGUCUCUCUCAUUUUCCCUGAAGAAGCAUUAUCCUUUUACUAAGACUUUUUUCCAAAGGAUUGUCAACAGUAGAUUUCUACUAUCCACAACUCUGUGGAGGCUGAUUUGGGUAACGUCUUAGAACUCACAAUCUGGAAUUACCCUCUUGUUUUCAAUUUCCUUGCCGUAAGCCAUAUGGGACAUAGGAUGAAAAAACUGUUAACAUAAGGGGAAGCUGAUAUUUACUUUCUAUCUCACGACCCAUGCCGAUAGUCAUUUUGGUUGAUUAUUAUAUACUUCCAAAAAUCUCAUCUGACAUGAUCGUGAUCACAAACAAGGAGGAAAAGCAUUUUAGGCAUGGGCAGCAGUUGGAAAUUGAAAUGUCCUUAAAAAAAAAGAACAUUAUUGACAAGUAACCAUUUUCCUUCUACUGAAGCACUUCAGUGAAGGGGAAACCCACAACUUCUUAUGGCAACUCCUAAGAGUUGGUGCUGAUUGUUACAAAAUUAUUGCAAAGUCAAGCCUAAAUAUCCCCAUCUAUAUCUUCUCCUCAUUCACUUCUCUGAGAUCUAUUUACUUUUACCCUCCAGGACCAAGGAGAGUAUCUGUGCCUUCAAAUAAUGAAAGGAAUUUCUCCCACUUUCCUCCAUUGAAUAAAUAUAUAAUGAGUACUUGUAAUACAUAAGGCAUUAUGCUAGGUGCCAAAGAGAUAGAAAGCUAGUUGUUGCCUUCACAAAACUUAAAAUCUACUUGUGGAAGAGAAGACAUAAAUGCAAAUAACUACAAUGAAACCAUCAUAUAGGAAAGUAAAGUGAGACUCCAGAAAAGAGAUAAAUAACUUCUGAAUAGAGGAGAUGGAAGAGGAGGUCAAGUAAGGCUUGCUAGAUUCUGGAUUUUGAAAUUUGGGUAGAUAUUUGUUAGAUACAGAUGUUAAAUGGAGAUGAAAGGUCCAUGAGAAUUCCAAGAGGAAGGGAUUUCAAAAACACAGUUACCAAGAUGGUAAAAAGUAAUAUAAGUUUAAAGGACAACAAACAGUUCAAUCUGAAGCAUAGCAGAUAUGUAGGAAGUACUAUGAAACAGGGUUGGGGAAAAAAAAGGAUAUCAAGCUAAGGAGUUUGAAAUUUAUUUCAAGCAAUGGGGAGACUUUGAAUGUUUUUGAGCUUUGGGUUGAUGUGAGCAGAGGUAUUGCUUUAUUAAGAUUAACAUGGUUUAGUCGUUGUCUUCAUUCUUGAAGAGGAUCAAAAUGACAUUACUAUGUCAGAGUUGAGUUACAGUGUGUCCAACUGUGGCUGAUUAGACCAAUACGAAUUUGGAAUGCUUGGCCAGAGGUUGGUCACAAAUAGUCUCUAUGAACAUUUGGG